GGGUGACCAUUCAGAUAAGUAUAGUAGCUAGAUUUAAUGAGGCCUUAUGAGGAUUUUCACUAAGAAGCACCUGCUGAUAUGCUAACCCAUCUAAGAAGUUUGGAUGCCUGUUCUAAUCAGGUUAGAACAUAUAUGCUGGAGCCUGUAUUCAUUUGUAUUGCCCAUGCUUCCAAAGUAGCUGUAAUCAUCGUGCAGAAUGUUUGUGCAGAAUUAGUUUUGCUGUUUUUUCAGUAUCAUAUUGACACUGAUCUCACAAUCUUAUUUAGUUUUGUUUUCAGAUAUAGUAGUAGUGGAUUUAUGAGUUCUGAAGAUGAAUGCAGGCUUCGUUUGUGCUGGGGCCAACCUCCUUGGAGGGGCCUUUGGCCAUAUUACUAAACCGUUUGCAAGGUGAGGAUAGUCAUUCAUGGCUUCAAGACAAAGAUAAUCAACAGAUGUCCAGAUACUUUGACCUCUUUUCCUUAAAUGUCAAAUGAUGCAGCACAACUUUAUGUUGAAACAUAGCUAUUGUCCUUCAAUGUAUGAUAAACUGGUAAAUUUGUUUAUCAUCAACUGUAAUGAUAUUUGUAUCAUAUACAUGAAUGAAGGUGUGAUGGAUUAGUAUGUGGGAAGCAUUGAUAUGUGUUGGAAUGAGAUCA